GCAAAAGUUCAACUGGUCUUGAGAUAAUGUUAAAAAAUUGUUUGGUUUUUCAGUCAUGUCUGGCUAAGUAUAAUGGAUAUAAACAUAUUUAUUUUUUGAAGAUAUAAUCUGGGAGUAUAUGUUAGUAAGGAAGAUGAAAGUUUCAUGCUAAGAUUGGCCUUGAUCAGUAUGAUGACUUGAGUAUUAUAUUUUUAUAUCCCUUUCUAAAAUUUCAAAAACAAAAAUAGUAAAAAUUUUGUAUAUUUUUAAAAGGCAUAUUUGGGGAACUUAUACUGAUGGUCAUAAAUUCAUUUUCAUAAAUGGCAUGUAUGAAGAUAUUUAUGCUGUAAACCAAGUGAUAAAAAACAACAGAGAGAAAUGUGACAGAAAAUUGCUGAGGUUGAAUUGCAUACUACAAUGUUUCUGUAGAUGACUGUUACUAGUCUUUGUUCACUCGAGAAAGUAUUUAAGUUUGACAAGCUUAAUGCCAUUUGUGACCAUUUUGUUUCAUGUAAAUGAAUCCCAGCAAAGUUUUGGCAUACUGGAAAAAAGUUUGUAUUGCAAUAUUGCGUAAAUAUUUUUGAACUAUCUCUACAUCUCAAUAUUUGUUAUGUUUGUAUUUUUUUUUCUUUAUUGUUGAAAUAAAAAAAGUUAU
rnacentral:misc_RNA from 1 species